rnacentral:tRNA from 1 species
CAGAGAAUAGUUUAAUUAAAAUUCUGACUUUGGGAGUCAGGGAUAAGGGUUAAAGUCCCUUUUUUCUGA